rnacentral:tRNA from 1 species
GUGGGUACAGCUCAGUGGCAGAGCACAUGCUUAGCAUGCAUGAGGUCCUGGGUUCAAUGCCUAGUACCCUCC